AUUGAACGCUGGCGGCAGGCUUAACACAUGCAAGUCGAGCGAGAGGCGGACGGGUGAGUAAGGUCCGGGAAAAUGCCUGAUGGAGGGGGAUAACUACUGGAAACGGUAGCUAAUACCGCACACCAUCAGAUGUGCCCAGAUGGGAUUAGCUAGUAGGUGGGGUAAUGGCUCACCUAGGCGACGAUCCCUAGCUGGUCAGUGUGGAUGACCCGCCACACUGGAACUGAGGCACUGUCCAGACUCCUACGGGAGGCAGCAGUGGGGAAUAUUUCACAAUUGGCGCAAGCCGGAUGCAGACAUGCCGCGUGAGUGAAGAAGGCCUUCGGGUUGUAGAGCCCUUUCAGCGAAGAUGCGUUACUCGCAGAAUAAGCACCGGCUAACUCCGUGCCAGCAGCCGCGGUAAUUC
rnacentral:rRNA from 1 species